UACGUAGGGGGCAAGCGUUGUCCGGAAUUAUUGGGCGUAAAGCGCGCGCAGGCGGCGGUUUAAGUUUGGUGUUUAAGCCCGGGGCUCAACUCCGGUUCGCACUGAAAACUGGAUCGCUUGAGUGCAGGAGAGGGAAGUGGAAUUCCACGUGUAGCGGUGAAAUGCGUAGAGAUGUGGAGGAACACCAGUGGCGAAGGCGACUUCCUGGCCUGUAACUGACGCUGAGGCGCGAAAGCGUGGGGAGCAAACA
rnacentral:rRNA from 1 species